GGAGGGAUCAUUACAAGNUGCACCCCGNGUCUAACCACCGGGAUGUUCAUAACCCUUUGUUGUCCGACUCUGUUGCCUCCGGGGCGACCCUGCCUUCGGGCGGGGGCUCCGGGUGGACACUUCAAACUCUUGCGUAACUUUGCAGUCUGAGUAAACUUAAUUAAUAAAUUAAAACUUUUAACAACGGAUCUCUUGGUUCUGGCAUCGAUGAAGAACGCAGCGAAAUGCGAUAAGUAAUGUGAAUUGCAGAAUUCAGUGAAUCAUCGAAUCUUUGAACGCACAUUGCGCCCCCUGGUAUUCCGGGGGGCAUGCCUGUUCGAGCGUCAUUUCACCACUCAAGCCUCGCUUGGUAUUGGGCAACGCGGUCCGCCGCGUGCCUCAAAUCGACCGGCUGGGUCUUCUGUCCCCUAAGCGUUGUGGAAACUAUUCGCUAAAGGGUGCUCGGGAGGCUACGCCGUAAAACAAACCCAUUUCUAAGGUUGACCUCGGAUCAGGUAGGGAUACCCAGUUUC
rnacentral:rRNA from 1 species